UUACCUUUCGACGUUCUCCCUUCGGCUGCUGCUUCUUCUUCUUCUUCUUCUUCUUCUUCUUCUUCUUCUUCUGUUGAUAAGAGAGAAAAGAGUUAAUAUGGCAGAUCAGAGAGAAAAGAAGAGAAAGGUGGUGUUGCGAUUCUUACCCGCGUUGCGAUCUAGACGCUGCCGACUGCCGUUGAAGCCUUGAAGGUCUUCCUGAUUCAGUAUUGGAUUGGACACGAGAAUUUGAUUCAAAAGUAUAAAGUCAGAAUGCCAACAAUCAAGCAUUUUCUAGAAAGCAUUGGUGUCUCCUACAAUGCCAAAAUGGUGAAAUUGAUGAUGGUGGAUGAAGCCAAAUAAUGAACUUUUUCUUUGGACCAAAUUGAGUGAACGUCAAAUUAGAUUUUAUGCUACUUGAUUUUAUAAUUCAAUGUAAAACAAGAAUUGUGAUUAAUAUAG